ACACACACACACACACACACACACACACACACACACACACACACACACACACACACACACACACACACACACACACACACACAUUCGUACGCACUGAAACAACUUCCGUACCUCACGAAAACAUAUUUAAACAGAUGGAAAAAACUAUCGCAGAACACAGUGUCACGUAGCAACUGGUCUUUACGGUCGUUUGAAUCAACAGGUCAGUUUGGGGGACAAAAGGAGGGUUCAGUUUUUACUGACUUCCCAUCUGACAGUUUAAAUGUUUAUGACCGUUUGAAUCAACAGGACACGCACGCACACACACACACACGCACGCACACACACACACACACACACACACAUACACACACACACACACGCACACACACACACACACACACACACACACACACACACCAUUACCUCUGCUUUACCAUGUUAUUAGACAUUGGUUUAACUCCAUUUAAGCAUUUAAACGUUAAAAGCAUUACACUUGUACGACGAUGUAAUACCUUUUUUUUUUUAACAGCCGAUGACGACGAAGUGAAAGACGAUGAACUUUGCUUAAACGGUCUUACAAAGUUGGAAGAUGAUUUUCGAGGUGUGUUUAAACCUUCAAAUUAUUUAAUAUUAUGUGUAUUCAUUAUUUAGUUUCAUAGAGGAUUUGCCGUAAGAUCCUAACGCGAUCGUUUUAACACAAUCGCAGUCUGCUGGCGGGUCCGUCAACGGCCGUUCCAGGCAGAGGAGAAGGCUUGAUUGUGCCAAAGACUCCAGACAUCGAAUCCUUGCUCCGAGGGGAAAUCAUCGAAAACGACGGUGAAUGUCCGACAGGCACCCGCUAUUGGUAGCACUGGACAAGUCGGAUAUCCUUGCUUGGAUCCUUUUAAAGUUGCCCGAUAAACUGCUGAGAGUUGAUCUCUCCUCUUGUCCAAAGGUUUUUCGUUCAUUUUUACUUGUAAUACUGGCACUAGGGUUGAUGUAGUAGCUCCACAACAUAACCUUAAAGCCUGUGACUGGAUCCGGUCUAUUUUCCCAAGUCAUGUUUUUGAAGCAGAUUGGUAAAUAAUGCAUCCGUAAUCAAUAACAGAUGGAAUUAAAGUUAUAAAUAUAUACAUGUAUUGUUUUCAACGUUAACCUAUCAGCCCCCCAAUCAUUACCCCUCAAAGACCUCAUUAUAUUUAACACCUUUUUACUUUUUCCCCUAUUUUUUUAUUUUCCGGAAGGAACACUCCUGAAGGAAUAAAUAAAGUACUAUCUAAUCUAAUCUAAUCAAAUCUAUUUUGCUGAUGUGGGUUGACUAGUUCAUAUUUUUAUCAAACCAUAUUCCUAAAUAUUUAAAUACUUGUACCUCUUCUAUAUUUUCACCUUAGAGUUUUUAUUUGGAGCUUGUUUUGUACUUUUGUCUUUGUAAAAUGUAUGACUUUUGUCUUUCCAACAGAGAAUCUUAAACCUCAAGCCGUUCCCCAGUCUUGAACAUUAUUUACCACUUUGUUAGUUUUUUGAUUAUUUCUUUUGACUCUAAAUAAUAUACUAGUCUUUCAUUAAUCUUUUUUUUUUUUUUUUUCCAUUACUUUUCCCCAAAUUUAUAAUUUCCUGCCUCUUCUGGGUCUUACCCUGACUUGCAUAUUGGAAUUGUUACCGCUAAUUUUCCCCUCUGCCGGUCAUUCUCCUUCUUCAUAUAUCCUGUCAUAUCAUUUCAAGACCACUUCUUUGACGAUGCCACCUAAGUUUUUGAUCAUUUGAUAACCCGCUAGGUCUUUCCCCGGUGACGUAUUUUUAACCUUUUUCAAAAUUCGAACCAUUUCAUUCAAAGAAAAUGUCAUAUCCAUAGUGUUGGUAAAGCUAUUAACGUUGUCUUCCAUCAUUUCCCCAAUAUUUAAACUCAUUGUUUUUUCUCUCUUUUGUUUUUCCACAUUUCUCAAAUUAUCAUUACUGUGCACUUUAACACAUUUUUUUUGCUAAAGGUUCUGCUGUUUCUUUACCCGUGACUACAUCUUCUUUAAUAAAUGUGGCACAUCAUCCUCUUUA